GUGGGGAAUAUUGCACAAUGGGCGAAAGCCUGAUGCAGCAACGCCGCGUGCGGGAUGACGGCCUUCGGGUUGUAAACCGCUUUCACCAGGGACGAAGGGCCUUUCGGGGUUUGACGGUACCUGGAGAAGAAGCACCGGCUAACUACGUGCCAGCAGCCGCGGUGAUACGUAGGGUGCGAGCGUUGUCCGGAUUUAUUGGGCGUAAAGAGCUCGUAGGUGGUUGAUCGCGUCGGAAGUGAAAACUUGGGGCUUAACCCUGGGCGUGCUUUCGAUACGGGUUGACUUGAGGAAGGUAGGGGAGAAUGGAAUUCCUGGUGGAGCGGUGGAAUGCGCAGAUAUCAGGAGGAACACCAGUGGCGAAGGCGGUUCUCUGGACCUUUCCUGACGCUGAGGAGCGAAAGCGUGGGGAGCAAACAGGCUUAGAAACCCCUGUAGUCC
rnacentral:rRNA from 1 species